AGAGUUUGUCCUGGCUCAGGAUGAACGCUGGCGGCGUGCCUAAUACAUGCAAGUCAAGCGAACGGACGAGAAGCUUGCUUCUCUGAUGUUAGCGGCGGACGGGUGAGUAACACGUGGAUAACCUACCUAUAAGACUGGGAUAACUUCGGGAAACCGGAGCUAAUACCGGAUAAUAUUUUGAACCGCAUGGUUCAAAAGUGAAAGACGGUCUUGCUGUCACUUAUAGAUGGAUCCGCGCUGCAUUAGCUAGUUGGUAAGGUAACGGCUUACCAAGGCAACGAUGCAUAGCCGACCUGAGAGGGUGAUCGGCCACACUGGAACUGAGACACGGUCCAGACUCCUACGGGAGGCAGCAGUAGGGAAUCUUCCGCAAUGGGCGAAAGCCUGACGGAGCAACGCCGCGUGAGUGAUGAAGGUCUUCGGAUCGUAAAACUCUGUUAUUAGGGAAGAACAUAUGUGUAAGUAACUGUGCACAUCUUGACGGUACCUAAUCAGAAAGCCACGGCUAACUACGUGCCAGCAGCCGCGGUAAUACGUAGGUGGCAAGCGUUAUCCGGAAUUAUUGGGCGUAAAGCGCGCGUAGGCGGUUUUUUAAGUCUGAUGUGAAAGCCCACGGCUCAACCGUGGAGGGUCAUUGGAAACUGGAAAACUUGAGUGCAGAAGAGGAAAGUGGAAUUCCAUGUGUAGCGGUGAAAUGCGCAGAGAUAUGGAGGAACACCAGUGGCGAAGGCGACUUUCUGGUCUGUAACUGACGCUGAUGUGCGAAAGCGUGGGGAUCAAACAGGAUUAGAUACCCUGGUAGUCC
rnacentral:rRNA from 1 species